rnacentral:rRNA from 1 species
AGCUAAUAGAUACCCUGGUAGUCCCAGCAGUAAACGGUGCGCGUCUGGUGUGAGCAGAUUCGACUCUGUUCGCGCCGGAGCUAACGCGUUAAACGCGCCGCCUGGGAAGUACGAUCGCAAGAUUAAAACUCAAAGAAAUUGACGGGGGCCCGCACAAGCGGUGGAGUAUGUGGCUUAAUUCGAUGCAACGCGAAGAACCUUACCUGGGUUUGACAUGCAUCUCUAAGGAGGUGAAAGCUUCCGAGGGUAGCAAUACCCGAUUUGCACAGGUGCUGCAUGGCUGUCGUCAGCUCGUGUCGUGAGAUGUUGGGUUAAGUCCCGCAACGAGCGCAACCCUUGUAUGCUGUUGCUAUGCUUACGCAUAGCUCUCUGCGUAGACUGCCCCGUGAAACGGGGAGGAAGGUGGGGAUGACGUCAAGUCAGCAUGGCCCUUACACCCAGGGCUGCACACGUACUACAAUGCUCAGUACAAUUAGAACCUGCCCCGCGA